rnacentral:sRNA from 1 species
CGUGAGUGCGCUGUCUGCUGGCCCAGACUUUUUCGGGCCGCCGGUGCGGGCGCCCUCCUGCUGGGAGUGCAGGGGCGGCCUUGGGUGUGGAGAACCCUGGCUGCACAGUCCCUUUGACGAUAGCCCACCGGCCACCCAGGCCUGUCUGGGGACAUGUGGGAUGGGCUUUUCCCAGGGAGGGCGGCAAGCUCCACUUCGGCGAGAGGUUCGUCCAUGCAGAGGUGUCACCUGGGGCCCAGUGACAGAAGCAGCCAUAUUCUAUGAGACCCAGCCCAGCCUGUGGGCAGAGUCCGAAUCGCUGCUGAAACCCUCGGCCAAUGUGACGCUGACGUGCCAGGCCCGCCUGGAGACCCCAGACUUCCAGCUGUUCAAGAAUGGGGUGGCCCAGGAGCCUGUGCACCUUGACUCACCUGCCAUCAAGCACCAGUUCCUGC